rnacentral:rRNA from 1 species
CACGUAGGGGGCAAGCGUUGUCCGGAUUUAUUGGGCGUAAAGAGCUCGUAGGUGGCUAAGUAAGUCGGACCUUAAAUCCCCAGGCUCAACCUGGGACACGGCUCGAUACUGCUUUGGCUAGAGUCCGGUAGGGGAGCAUGGAAUUCCUGGUGUAGCGGUAGAAAUGCGCAGAUAGUCAGGAGGAACACCAGCGGCGGAAGGCGGUGCUCUGGGCCGGAACUGACACUGAGGAGCGGAAAGCGUGGGUAGCAAACAGG